CAAUGGUGGAGCAGCUACCACAGACAAAAACGGGCGAGCCGAAAAGCCAAACGAGUAGGAAUACA
rfam:Pedobacter steynii strain DX4, complete genome.